rnacentral:misc_RNA from 1 species
GAAUGGAUCGAGCGAGGCAGCUUCACUCUUCACUCAGCAAGGCAAGAAAGGAACGAAUCAAGAUGCCAUGGUUGUUUGGGAGAACUUCGCUUCCAGAACAGAUACUGUAUUCUGUGGUGUUUUUGAUGGCCACGGUCCUCAUGGCCAUAUGGUUGCCAAGCGAGUCAGAGAUUCCCUUCCCUCGAAGCUAAGUGCACAUUGGGAAGUUAGUCUGAAAAGUGAGGAUGUCCUAAAGGAGAUCAGUCUAAAUGCUGGGGCUAGCCUAUAUCCCGAGGAUGCUUCCCUUAUAUCCGCGGCCGAUGACUCUAGGGUUUCAAUUGAUGUUGAAGAGACUGGAAAGCACCCAGAGAUCUUUCAGACUUUGAAGGAAUCAUUUUUGAAGGCUUAUAAGGUUAUGGACAGGGAACUGAAAAGCUACACUAAUAUUGACUGCUUCUGUAGUGGGACAACAGCUGUAACCCUUAUUAAACAGGGCCAGGAUCUUGUUAUAGGAAAUGUAGGCGACUCCCGAGCAAUUCUAGGUACCAGAGACAAAGAUGGUUCUCUAACUGCUGUACAAUUGACAGUGGAUCUGAAGCCUAAUCUACCAGCGGAGGCUGAAAGAAUUCGUAAAUGUAGAGGGCGUGUUUUUUCUCUUCGCGAUGAACCAGAGGUUGCAAGAGUGUGGUUGCCAAAUAGUGACUCUCCUGGACUU